GAGCGCCCGGUGCUCGGAAACGGGCACGCCGGGCGCGGGAAGCGGCCCGGGGAAACGGACCGGUCGACAAGACCGGAACCGCGCCCUGGAUCGACUUCAC
rnacentral:ncRNA from 1 species